rnacentral:ncRNA from 1 species
UCAAAGACUAUGCGUAGAAGAGUAGUCGUUUGGAAAACUCUCAGGGAGCCUUGAAUAGUGAGACGAGGCAGUUGACCUUACUGAUGAAAGUAAUCUACAAGUCGUGACCGCGACGAUUAAUCGAAGUGGUCACUGGGAAUGCGCCCAUUACAGCAAUGAAGUAUCGUUAACCGACUGCGCAUCGGCUGGCCGUACUUUCUAAGUCAAUCACUGUGAAGUGGUUGAAAAUUAAGGUGGUAACACGUCGAUAACACGUCCUUAGC